UACGUAGGGGGCUAGCGUUGUUCGGAAUUACUGGGCGUAAAGCGUGCGCAGGCGGCUUCUCAAGUCAGGGGUGAAAGCCCAGAGCUCAACUCUGGAAUUGCCUUUGAGACUGAGUGGCUUGAGUACGAGAGAGGUGAGUGGAAUUCCCAGUGUAGAGGUGAAAUUCGUAGAUAUUGGGAAGAACACCGGUGGCGAAGGCGGCUCACUGGCUCGUAACUGACGCUCAUGCACGACAGCGUGGGGAGCAAACAGG
rnacentral:rRNA from 1 species